CUGUGCCGAGGAAGGCACGUACUUCCUUCAUGGAUUUCGGGUAAGGCAUCUUCUGGAUUGCCGAAACACGUCCAGGAUCCAUCCGCAGCAGUCCAUCUCCGACUAUAAACCCUAGACUGUGGGCUACUCGACUCAAGUAUUUCAAGUGCGUCUGAAAAUCUGGAGCGAGGAUUAGCAGGUCGUCCAAAUAGACGAAAACGUUGGAUCUGAGCUCUGCUGGUAUCACCCGAUCCGGCAUCAUUCGGAACUUGUACAACGGCCUGCCUGGAACCGUGAACGCAGUGUACUCCUUGCUUUUCUCACCCAGUUCGAUCUGCCAGAACGCAAACUUCAGGUCAACUCUGGAGAUGAAAUGCGUCUGAUCUAUUCUGGAGAGGAUUCCCUCAGUGCUGGGCAGAGGGUAUGCAUCCUUAAUAGUCAAGGCGUUCAACUUCCGGGCAUCCAGGCAGAACCUGUUUUUCCCUGGCUUCGACACCACUGUUGUGCGAUUACUCCACGGGCUUUUGCUCUCCUCGAUGACACCCAGCUCCAACAUCUUGUCGAUUUCAUCUUCGACCACCUUCUGCUUCGCCGGAGACAUCGGAUACGGACGAUCCUUAAAGACCCGAGCUCCUUCCAUCAGCUCAAUGGAAUGCCUCUCCACGCUGGUGACUCCGAGGCCGUCCCUUUCAAAGGCAGCUCCAAGCGUCCGAUAAUGGAUCGAUCCUCGCCAGAAGCCGUCCGGACUACCGAAAAAUACGGUUGGACGGUAACUCCCAGCGUCUCCACGAGCUCUCGACAGCCUUUGCCCAGCACACUUACGCUGGCGCCUGUAUCCAACAAGUCGGUGAGCUGCUUCCCCAAGGUCUCCACGUCGGCGAAGGGUCGAGGAUCGGCGGAAUCAAUGCGUUUAACGGCCGCCACCACCUCUCGUCGUCUGGAUCACCUUAUCCUGAAGCGCUCACUUGCUUCUGGACUACCUCCGGUAGGUAUCUUAGCAAAUACUUAUGACUACUAUAUUGGCUGUGUACGUUCCUGCUUUCGUCUUCUACCUUCGGAACUACUUCGCGGGAUUCCAACCUGGGCGAGUCCCUCCCGCUUUCGGACUGCCCAGCCGACCGUUUUCCGCGCAAUCGGGACAUUUCGGAGAAAUCACGCCCGGCUUGCCGCACCGGCAACAGAAUCUCCUCCACUCCGUGGCCUCGCAAUCCUGGAAUCCGUGCUCCGCAGCCCCGCAAUUCCAGCAACCUGGCCUGACCGGAUUUCGGACUCGCCCACGUAGCUCGUCCACUUCCAGGUUUCGCUGCUCGUCGACUUCGUCCUGUACGUGCGCCUCGCUGACCCGUAACCUGCUCUGCUGCAAGUAAGCAGCACGCCCUCGACGAGCGAAACUCCUUUCUACUUCGACGCACUCCUCCCGAAAUUCGUCCACCGCGUGAGGCGAGUUGCUGCAUCGAAUGGAUGUAGUCAUCCGCGCUCUCUCCCGGCUGUUGCUCACGUUGCAGAAGCUCAUGCAUCCUUUCGUGUUCCGUCUGGUGACCACGGAACCGAUCCAUCAGAG